rnacentral:rRNA from 1 species
AGCAAUUGGGUGCAGAAGCUAACCAGGUAAGUCAUACGCCAGAGAGUGACGUGCGAGGGAGGGAAACUCAAAGGAAUUGACGGGGACCCGAACAAGUAGCGGAGCAUGUGGGUUAAUUCGAAGCAACGCGAAGAACCUUACCUAAGCUUGACAUCCCAAUGACAUCUCCUUAAUCGGAGAGUUCCCUUCGGGGACAUUGGUGACAGGUGGUGCAUGGUUGUCGUCAGCUCGUGUCGUGGGAUGUUGGGUUAAGUCCCGCAAC